UCCGCCUUGGUGUAAUGGCAGCAUGCAGGCCUUUGGAGCCUUGCGGUCUAGGUUCGAGUCCUGGAGGCGGAG
rnacentral:tRNA from 1 species